rnacentral:lncRNA from 1 species
GAAGAGAAGAGAAGAAAAGAGAAGAGAAGAGGAGAAGAGAAGAGAAGAGAAGAGAAGAGAAGAGAAGAGAAGAGAAGAGAAGAGAAGAGAAGAGAAGAGAAGAGAAGAGGCUGGCCAUGUGGAGAGAGAGGAGAAGAGAGGGAGAAAAGGAGAACGAGAGAUUAUUAACACGGUGGCAGAAGGAGAAGCUAUAAAUAAAACAAGCUUUAUCCAAAUUAGGAAGAGCUAACAAAGACAACUCAGAAAGUGAAAGUGAACCAAGAAGAUUGCGUUGCUCUCAAGAAACGAUGUUAAUUAAAACUUUAGAAAGCAUGAUAACUAUGAGUGAAACUUUCUUUUUGCAUCUUUGAAGAUAAGAACCUAAAAAACAAGGAUGAUUUUUGUAUUCCUUGUCUUUGUUGUCUCAUGCAUGGUACUGACCAAAUGGCUUGCCAAUCAGAGUAGAUCAGUGUGAACCUAUUAGCAUGUAUAUAUGAUUUAUUUCACACACACACACACACACACACACACACACACACACACACAUAAUUAUUAAGUUAUGUAUAGUGCUUACUAGGAAAAAUCAUGAGUGCUAAUAAUACUUGAUUUAAAACCCAUUAUAAACACAAUGUUGUAACUCAAAAUUUAAUGUUAUUUUCCUGUCCAAUGUCAUAGAGCAGUAGACUAUAAGUAUACUUAUAAGUAUAAGUAUUCAGGGUUAGUUAUUUCUUCAUGACCGCACUUCCAAACAGGACCUGUGUCUCUUCGAUCACCCAACAUGGAAUGAAAACAUCAGACCAUAUGAGGCCAGGCAAGACAAAAUCGGAGUUCAAGCUUUGAAGUAUUGCCUUUAAAAAUUGGAUUCGUAUUGAUUUUUGCAUCAUUGUAAAGUAAAUAAGAAUAAAACUGAAGCAUUAUGAAUUGAGGGAUUAUCCGGACAACAAUAUUUUCAUUAGAAAGGAUGGUGGGCAGCAAAGCAAGGUUUUUAACACAGUCUUUUUUUGUACUCUUCUUUGCAAUCAAUGCUAUGCAUUCUGUCAUGAGCAAAUUUGAUGAGCACAUUGAAUUAAUCAUAGGUUUUAAUUUCUGUGUGGGCUCCCUGUUCCAAAUCUCUCAUUGGCCUUUAAUUAAAGCAGAUAAUUAGCUUUCAAAUCCUAGAAGCAACAACAACAACAACAAAAAAGGAUUAUUAUCUCUAGUCUUAAAAGGCUAUUAAAAACAAAUGUUGUAAUUAUGUUGGCUAUUAUUGACUUUGUAUAUAAAGUGUUUAUGACAUAUCUUAUAGUUUUUGUGAAUGUCUUCAUCAACAUUUAAAUGUCAGCAUUCCAUUUUAAUGUGUAUGCCAUUUUUUUUCUAUUUUCUUUCUUUAUUUCAAAGUUGG